ACUACUCCAGUGCCCUAAUAAGAAUUGCAAAAUUUGCAAAGUCUCAACAUGAUUAAUUAAAUAUGUUUCAUUUAAUAUGAAUCAUAUAGUGCCUUUUUUAAUCAACUAGUAUGAUAUAUAUCAAAAUUGCUUUGGGGACUAAAUAAGCAAUUGCAAUAACAUUAAAGUCUCUACGAAAGAACAACAAAUUUCAGUUACAAAAAAAAAAGAACAACAAAUUGGUAUUCGGAUAGGACUUAUUCUUAGGUCCACCCCCUAGGGUGAACCUCUAGGUUCACCAACCAAUAGGAUUAUUUUAUUUUAUAUUCGAUAUCUUUUAAAAAAGGAAAUAAAAUAUUGUCAAAUUAUAUUAUGUUUUUAAAAUUUAAAAGUAAAAAAAAAAUAGUAAUAAUUACAAAAAAAAUAUUUUACGUCGUCAGCAUAACAUUAAACCCUAAACCCUAAAUUCUAAUCCCUAAACCCUUAAUCCUAAACCCUAAACCCUUG
rnacentral:lncRNA from 1 species